GACGAACGCUGGCGGCGUGCUUAACACAUGCAAGUCGAACGGAAAGGCCCUGCUUGCAGGGUGCUCGAGUGGCGAACGGGUGAGUAACACGUGGGUGAUCUGCCCCUUACUUUGGGAUAAGCCUGGGAAACUGGGUCUAAUACUGGAUAGGACCAUGCUGUAGGUGGUGUGGUGGAAAGAUUAGUUUCGGUAAGGGAUGAGCUCGCGGCCUAUCAGCUUGUUGGUGGGGUAAUGGCCUACCAAGGCGUCGACGGGUAGCCGGCCUGAGAGGGUGGACGGCCACAUUGGGAAUGAGAUACGGCCCAGACUCCUACGGGAGGCAGCAGUGGGGAAUAUUGCACAAUGGGCGAAAGCCUGAUGCAGCGACGCCGCGUGGGGGAUGACGGCCUUCGGGUUGUAAACUCCUUUCAGCCAUGACGAAGCCCUUGUGGUGACGGUAGUGGUAGAAGAAGCACCGGCUAACUACGUG
rnacentral:rRNA from 1 species